ACGAACGCUGGCGGCGUGCUUAACACCUGCAAGUCGAACGGAAAGGCCCUGCUUUUGUGGGGUGCUCGAGUGGCGAACGGGUGAGUAACACGUGAGUAACCUGCCCUUGACUUUGGGAUAACUUCAGGAAACUGGGGCUAAUACCGGAUAGGAGCUCCUGCUGCAUGGUGGGGGUUGGAAAGUUUCGGCGGUUGGGGAUGGACUCGCGGCUUAUCAGCUUGUUGGUGGGGUAGUGGCUUACCAAGGCUUUGACGGGUAGCCGGCCUGAGAGGGUGACCGGCCACAUUGGGACUGAGAUACGGCCCAGACUCGUACGGGAGGCAGCAGUGGGGAAUAUUGCACAGUGGGCGGAAGCCUGAUGCAGCAACGCCGCGUGCGGGAUGACGGCCUUCGGGUUGUAAACCGCUUUCGCCUGUGACGAAGCGUGAGUGACGGUAAUGGGUAAAGAAGCACCGGCUAACUACGUG
rnacentral:rRNA from 1 species